GGACUACCAGGGUAUCUAAUCCUGUUUGCUCCCCAUGCUUUCGAGUCUCAGCGUCAGUUGUCAGCCAGAAAGUCGCCUUCGCCACUGGUGUUCCUCCCGAUCUCUACGAAUUUCACCUCUACACCGGGAAUUCCACUUUCCUCUCCGACACUCAAGCUCUACAGUCUCUUCUGCACGUUACAGGCUAAGCCCGUAGAUUUCACAGAAGACUUAUAAAACCGCCUACACUCCCUUUACGCCCAAUAAUUCCGAACAACGCUUGCACCCUCUGUAUUACCGCGGCUGCUGGCAC
rnacentral:rRNA from 1 species